CCCACCAGGGAGCCGAUUCAGGCCACGCCUACAAAUAUCCAUACCCACGCGCACACCCGCAUACACCCUGUGCAUAUUCGCUUCCCUCAUCUCACACCCUCUCUUCUCUCGCCUCACUUCCUCGUUUCAGUAUCUCCCGUGCUUUCCUUGGGCCGUUCAGCGGGUUCUUGUUUUUGUAGCGUUGGGCAAACACAUACAUCAUCGAAGACAAUCAACCAUACAUAAACUUGCAUAGGUCUCGUCUCUCUCUCUUUCCCUUUCCUCUGUGCAUGUUUCCCCCCUUUUCUUCUUUGGCUACCGUUUUUACUAACGUGUAUCGCCCCCUCUAUCCUCACCGGCACGCCAAGAUAGUCGAAGCUGUUCCUAUUGCCCCCUCUCUCUUUCACUCACACGGACAUUUGAGUCGGCCGGCAAGAUGAGCUCGCCCCAGGUGGUUCGUGAGGCCAAAAAGGCGUUCGAGGCCAACAAGCGUGUCUACGAGAGCGUGCUGCUCACUUUCAAAGGUGUUGACGGCUAUGACGUGUACAACUGCUCCGUUCCCUUCUCCUACAAGGGCAAGACGCACAUCUACGGCCGCGUUGAAAAGCGCGAUAUUUGGGCCGCUUCGCAUGUGCGGCUCUUCGAGGAGACGGGCAAGGAUGAGUUCACGGCGGUGCCGGACGGGAUGACGUGGUUGUUGGAGGACCCCUUCGUGUCCAGGGUGAAGGGUGAAGCCCUCUUCGGCGGCACACGCGUUCGCAAGGUCAGCGACCGCCUCUUAAGCUACUACUGCGACUUCUUCCGUGGCGGGAUCGAGCAGGGUCUCUACUUCACGACAGGCCCCGACAACAUGAAGGACAUUCGCUGUGUGGAGCUGGCGAAUGGCAGCAUAGGCGUUUUUUCCCGUCCCAAGACGGAUGUCUACACCUGCAUCGGCUUCACCAUCAUCGACGACCUGAGCGAGUUGACACAAAAGGUGAUUAAUGAGGCAGAGCCGCUUAAUGUCCUUCACGCCGGUGCUUGGGGCGGCGUGAAUCAGGCGUACCUUCUCACCUCCGGCAAGGUUGGGUGCAUCGCACACUACAGCUACAACAGCAAGGACGACAAGGACCGCCCGACGUCGGUUUAUCUGAACUACUCCUUCGUUCUGGACCCUGAGACGAAGCAAGCAGAGAUGGAGCGCAUCAUUGGCACCCGUAGCUGCUAUCCGGAUUACCCUGUCAAGACAGAGAAGCUCAUAGACUGCGCCUUUUCCUCUGGUAUCGUUAUGCGUGAGGAUGGCAAGUGCGACCUGUACAGCGGGCUGGGCGACACCUGUGAGGGUCGCAUCACCAUUGACUACCCGUUCGAGGGAUGUGGUGCAGUCGUUGAUCAGCUCUCGUUUUGAGCACCCUCUCACCCACCCACACACACACACACACACACACACUCACAUGCAAACGGGCCAAGAUACACAAACUCAUAUGCACGUUCCCCAAACUCACCAAAGAAUGCACCACCACAGGGGGCGUGUACGUGUUCUCUUUCUUCCUCUUGUUUCUCUUUUGCUUCUGGUUCAACGUUGACAUAGAGAUUCCACACGCGCUUUUUUUUUGUGCUCAAUGGCGUGCUGGCGACUUCCCCUUCCUCUUGCUUCUUUCCCUUGAGACAGCUUUACAUGUGUGCCCGUGCGUGCGUGCUCGUUCUCUUGCUCUAUAGCUAAUUUUAGCAGGGUCUACUCGUACGCACACCCGUAUGCUCACCUCUGAUCUUCGCUCAAAGACACCCACCCACACACACACAAACUCAAACAAAUGUACCCACACGUCCUCGCUCUCAACGAAACAAAAACGCACGAAAAGAUAAGGCCUCGGCUCUUUCUUCUCGCGCGGGAGUGAGUGCAGCCGUAAGCAGAGAGUUGGUGGGUAGCUGGAUGUCUGGGGCAGUGCGCGACACCGCCUCACCCUAUACAUCUCUCCGAAGCUGCAGCGCACGCCCUUACUACAGCGAGAGCAGGACGAGAUGGACACGCCACAAACGGCGACUCUUUGAGCGGCCCUGUUGUCUUUCUGGAAAGCGUGAGGGUAUACGACGUGGCUGUUGUUGCGGCUCGUGUAGCGCCUCUUCUGAGGUCGUGGAGGCGGCGUUGCAUAAAGUUCAAGCUACCGCACGACGAUUCGCCAAGGAUCUUCGUGCCGACUGGAUGUGUGUGCUUGUGGGUGGCGGUGUAGUCCACGCAAACCCCCAUCAUCACAUGUUGUUGCAAUCGAGGCAAAGCGCAUGCGACGGAGUGGUGCGUUGCAGCCUUUACACCUUUUCCCUUGUAUCUCGCUCGUCCGCUUUCCUUUCGAUGUGCAGCCAAAUUGGACACCACGAGCACACUUCUACACACGGUUGCGGUGCACUGUCUUUUAUUUCGCUUCUCUAUACACGUGUGUGUGUAUUGGUGUGCCUCUGUGUACCUGGGUGUGUGCCUGUGUCUCUGUGUAUGUAUGUGCGCGCGGCAUGUUGUUCUGUCGUGUAUUUUUUUUUUUGCUGGUCUCCAUCUCUGUCUGAGCCCGUCUCUUUUCUCCAUCCGUGUGUGCUGCUGUGAGCGGUGUUGCGUGCUUCUGUGUGCUUCCUUUCCCUGCGUGCAUGUGUCUUCUUCUGUUGAUCUUCUUCGUUAGCUUCGUCUUGCUCUGUCGCUCUCUUCCUCUCGAGUUUCAUCCUGAUUUGCUUUUGGUGCGAUGCCAGUAUUUCUUGUCCAUCCAUAUUUUCGUUGAGCUAGCUCUCUCCCAGCCUGCCUGUUUCUGUGUGGUCUGUGUGCCGGUGUGCGUCUUUCUCUGUGUAUCUCUGGAUCGCCCGUUUGUAUGUUCCAUCUCGAAAUCCAAACAUACGCACAUACGCACAAACGCACGCACCGACACACCCGCGCACAAAACGCAAACAAACGAAGACGCGCACACGCGCCGAUCGACUCUUACGAUUCUUCCACUAGAUGGAUUCAUUUUGAAC
rnacentral:misc_RNA from 1 species